GAAGAAGAGUCAUAGGGUGGAGAGCUUCUGUGACUUCAUACAGUCUUUGCUUCUUAAGACUCAGGGUGAAGAAGACUUGGCCAGAUUCUAGACAGUUACUCGCAGCAUUGCUGGGAUUUAGGCAGAUGAGCAGUGUCUGAUUUGUCCUGCACACUCACCUGCAUUGCAAGGGGCUUUGGUGGCACACCAAUCCCCCAAAAUUUUGUUGUACUUCGUCAUCAUUAGUGGUAACCGAUGAGAUUCUUUCGGCUAACCUUUAAGUGCUUUGUGGACGGCUUCUGACUUUCCUCUCACAUCUAUUAGCCCUAAAUUUGCAGUCUUUUUCGUGGGUUAAUUUUUUUUAUAUUUAAUUUUUUUAUAUAUAUAUAUUUACGUGUGCGUG